AGCAUGAAAAAAUCUCAUUAAUUCUAAAAAUGUAUACCAUGCUUCCACUCUGAUGCUGAUAACUGAUGAGAAUAGAAAUAACUACCAAACAUAAUUAAAUUUAUCACAUUCAUCAAAACGAAAAAGGAACGACGGAAAAGAGUUUCUUGUACACGUGCAUAAAUUUUCUGCUAUGUGGCAUUCGCGUCCCCGCCGCGCCACACGCGAGGGAAUUGGACGCGUAUAACGUUUAGUUUGAUCGACGGAUGAAAACCGAGUGUAUAUCUAAUCUACAUAUUUGUUUUUACAUCUCCGUCUCGAGUGUAUAAAACACAACGAGAAAGUGGAAGCGCGAAUUUCCGUCUCGAAGUGUCCAAUAUUUCGACA